AUUGAACGCUGGCGGAAUGCUUUACACAUGCAAGUCGAACGGCAGCACGGACUUCGGUCUGGUGGCGAGUGGCGAACGGGUGAGUAAUGUAUCGGAAUGUGCCCAGUCGUGGGGGAUAACGUAGUGAAAAUUACGCUAAUACCGCAUACGAUCUAUGGAUGAAAGCGGGGGAUCGCAAGACCUCGCGCGGUUGGAGCGGCCGAUAUCAGAUUAGGUAGUUGGUGGGGUAAAGGCUCACCAAGCCAACGAUCUGUAGCUGGUCUGAGAGGACGACCAGCCACACUGGAACUGAGACACGUUCCAGACUACUACGGGAGGCAGCAGUGGGGAAUUUUGGACAAUGGACGCAAGUCUGAUCCAGCCAUUCCGCGUGCAGGAUGAAGGCCCUCGGGUUGUAAACUGCUUUUGUACAGAACGAAAAGGUUUCUACUAAUACUAGGAGCUCAUGACGGUACUGUAAGAAUAAGCACCGGCUAACUACGUGCCAGCCGCCGCAGUAA
rnacentral:rRNA from 1 species